GAGUUUGAUCGUGGCUCAGGAUGAACGCUGGCGGCGUGCUUAACACAUGCAAGUCGAACGGGGAUUACACGGAGAUGCGAUUUCGGUCAAAUCAAGUGCAAUCUUAGUGGCGGACGGGUGAGUAACGCGUGGGGUAACCUGCCUUGCACUGGGGGAUAACACUUAGAAAUAGGUGCUAAUACCGCAUAAGCGCACGGUCCUGCAUGGGACAGUGUGAAAAACUCCGGUGGUGCAAGAUGGACCCGCGUCUGAUUAGCUGGUUGGCGGGUAAAGGCCCACCAAGGCGACGAUCAGUAGCCGGCCUGAGAGGGUGGACGGCCACAUUGGGACUGAGACACGGCCCAAACUCCUACGGGAGGCAGCAGUGGGGGAUAUUGGACAAUGGGGGAACCCUGAUCCAGCGACGCCGCGUGAGUGAAGAAGUAUUUCGGUAUGUAAAGCUCUGUCAGCAGGGAAGAAAGCAAUGACGGUACCUGACCAAGAAGCCCCGGCUAACUACGUGCCAGCAGCCGCCGCCGUAACACC
rnacentral:rRNA from 1 species